CAUCUAAAUGAGAACAAAGGAGCUUACCCAUAAACCUCUAUAGCCAUAACUACCCUUGCUUGUUUGCAGCACAACCUCCGUGGAGAUAGUACAUCAGAUACGAAUUGGGAAGAUAAUCUGCUCCACCUUGCAUCAUCAUCUGGAAUAGAACAGCCCUCUGUUUGAAAGUUUGGACUAGACUUUACAGCUAGUCUGCUGUCUGAGGAGGUGGAACUGAAACAUGAAACAGUCCUGUCCUGGUCCCAUUAUAAUGAAAUUAAAAUGAUGGCAGAGACAGCAAUUGAGUCUUGGCAUUCCAAGUAGCAGAAGACAAAUCCCCUGUGACAGACUUGAGGAACUUUAUUCACAGCAGCAAUCCCGACAGAGGAAGAAAGACACACCUAAGGAAAGCUGCAUUGGUGCAGGAGGUUUGCCAGAACGUGAGCUUUGCACUGGGAGAGAGCUCCAGCAAUGUGCUAUUCUUAGCCUCUUACAGGGGUUGGACUGUGUAACUUUUAAUUGAUAAAAUCAUACUGGCUUUCAGUACAGCUUUGGAUUUCUGCCUAUCAUGUUUGCAUUGCAAAUGAGCAGUAAGGGCUUAUGCAAAAUAGAAGCACCAUAUACCAAAUAAAAGUAAACCACCUAGAUAUGGUCUACUGAAA
rnacentral:lncRNA from 14 species